rnacentral:rRNA from 1 species
CGAUGGGGAUGCGUUCCAUUAGGCAGUUGGCGGGGUAACGGCCCACCAAACCAACGAUGGAUAGGGGUUCUGAGAGGAAGGUCCCCCACAUUGGAACUGAGACGCGGUCCAAACUCCUACGGGAGGCAGCAGUGAGGAAUAUUGGUCAAUGGACGAGAGUCUGAACCAGCCAAGUAGCGUGAAGGAUGACUGCCCUAUGGGUUGUAAACUUCUUAUAUACGGGAAUAAAGUGAGCCACGUGUGGCUUUUUGUAUGUACCGUAUGAAUAAGGAUCGGCUAACUCCGUGCCAGCAGCCGCGGUAAUACGGAGGAUCCGAGCGUUAUCCGGAUUUAUUGGGUUUAAAGGGAGCGUAGGCGGGUUGUUAAGUCAGUUGUAAAAGUUUGCGGCUCAACCGUAAAGUUGCAGUUGAUACUGGCGACCUUGAGUGCAACAGAGGUAGGCGGAAUUCGUGGUGUAGCGGUGAAAUGCUUAGAUAUCACGAAGAACUCCGAUUGCGAAGGCAGCUUACUGGAUUGUAACUGACGCUGAUGCUCGAAAGUGUGGGUAUCAAACAGGAUUAGAUACCCUGGUAGUCCACACAGUAAACGAUGAAUACUCGCCGUUGGCGAUAUACAGUCAGCGGCCAAGCGAAAGCAUUAAGUAUUCCACCUGGGGAGUACGCCGGCAACGGUGCAACUCAAAUGAAUUGACGGA